AGGGAAUCUUCCGCAAUGGGCGCAAGCCUGACGGAGCGACGCCGCGUGAGCGAGGAAGGCCUUCGGGUUGUAAAGCUCUGUUGUGAGGGAAGAACGUCCUGGAGAGGGAAUGCUCUGGGGGUGACGGUACCUCACGAGGAAGCCCCGGCUAACUACGUGCCAGCAGCCGCGGUAAUACGUAGGGGGCGAGCGUUGUCCGGAAUUAUUGGGCGUAAAGGGCGUGUAGGCGGCCUCUUAAGUCCGGUGUGAAAGCCCCCGGCUCAACCGGGGAGGGUCACUGGAAACUGGGGGGCUUGAGAGCAGGAGAGGAGAGCGGAAUUCCACGUGUAGCGGUGAAAUGCGUAGAGAUGUGGAGGAACACCAGUGGCGAAGGCGGCUCUCUGGCCUGGCUCUGACGCUGAGGCGCGAAAGCGUGGGGAGCAAAC
rnacentral:rRNA from 1 species